rnacentral:rRNA from 1 species
CCUACGGGAGGCUGCAGUGAGGAAUAUUGGUCAAUGGGCUAAGGCCUGAACCAGCCAAGUCGCGUGAGGGAAGACGGUCCUAUGGAUUGUAAACCUCUUUUGUCGGGGAGCAACGAGGCCACGUGUGGCCGAAGUGAGAGUACCCGAAGAAAAAGCAUCGGCUAACUCCGUGCCAGCAGCCGCGGUAAUACGGAGGAUGCGAGCGUUAUCCGGAUUUAUUGGGUUUAAAGGGUGCGUAGGCGGGCAUUUAAGCCGGCGGUCAAAUGUCGGGGCUCAACCCCGGCCUGCCGUCGGAACUGGGUGCCUUGAGUGGGCGAGAGGUAUGCGGAAUGCGUGGUGUAGCGGUGAAAUGCAUAGAUAUCACGCAGAACCCCGAUUGCGAAGGCAGCAUACCGGCGCCCUACUGACGCUGAGGCACGAAAGUGCGGGUAUCGAACAGGAUUAGAUACCCGUGUAGUC